UACGUAGGUGGCAAGCGUUGUCCGGAUUUAUUGGGCGUAAAGCGAGCGCAGGCGGUUCCUUAAGUCUGAUGUGAAAGCCCACGGCUCAACCGUGGAAGGUCAUUGGAAACUGGGGAACUUGAGUGCAGAAGAGGAGAGUGGAAUUCCAUGUGUAGCGGUGAAAUGCGUAGAUAUUAGGAGGAACACCAGUAGCGAAGGCGGCUCUCUGGACUGUAACUGACGCUGAGGCACGAAAGCGUGGGUAGCAAACAGGAUUAGAUA
rnacentral:rRNA from 1 species